GACGAACGCUGGCGGCGUGCCUAAUACAUGCAAGUCGAGCGCAGGAAACUGACGGAACUCUUCGGAGGGAAGGCAGCGGAAUGAGCGGCGGACGGGUGAGUAACACGUAAGGAACCUGCCUCAAGGAUUGGGAUAACUCCGAGAAAUCGGAGCUAAUACCGGAUAGUUCAACGGACCGCAUGGUCCGCUGAUGAAAGGCGCUUCGGCGUCACCUUGAGAUGGCCUUGCGGUGCAUUAGCUAGUUGGUGGGGUAACGGCCCACCAAGGCGACGAUGCAUAGCCGACCUGAGAGGGUGAUCGGCCAGACUGGGACUGAGACACGGCCCAGACUCCUACGGGAGGCAGCAGUAGGGAAUCUUCCACAAUGGACGAAAGUCUGAUGGAGCAACGCCGCGUGAGUGAUGAAGGUUUUCGGAUCGUAAAACUCUGUUGUAAGGGAAGAACACGUACGAGAGGAAAUGCUCGUACCUUGACGGUACCUUACGAGAAAGCCACGGCUAACUACGUGCCAGCCGCCGCCGUAA
rnacentral:rRNA from 1 species